GAGUUUGAUCCUGGCUCAGAUUGAACGCUGGCGGCAUGCUUUACACAUGCAAGUCGAACGGCAGCACGGGGGCAACCCUGGUGGCGAGUGGCGAACGGGUGAGUAAUAUAUCGGAACAUGUCCGGAAGUGGGGGAUAGCUCGGCGAAAGCCGGAUUAAUACCGCAUAUGCCCUGAGGGGGAAAGGAGGGGAUCCGCAAGGACCUUUCGCUUUCGGAGUGGCCGAUAUCGGAUUAGCUAGUUGGUGAGGUAAAGGCUCACCAAGGCGACGAUCCGUAGCUGGUCUGAGAGGACGACCAGCCACACUGGAACUGAGACACGGUCCAGACUCCUACGGGAGGCAGCAGUGGGGAAUUUUGGACAAUGGGGGAAACCCUGAUCCAGCCAUGCCGCGUGAGUGAAGAAGGCCUUCGGGUUGUAAAGCUCUUUCAGACGGAAAGAAACGGUUACGGCUAAUACCCGUGACUAAUGACGGUACCGUCAGAAGAAGCACCGGCUAACUACGUGCCAGCAGCCGCGGUAAUACGUAGGGUGCGAGCGUUAAUCGGAAUUACUGGGCGUAAAGCGUGCGCAGGCGGUUUUGUAAGACAGGCGUGAAAUCCCCGGGCUUAACCUGGGAACUGCGUUUGUGACUGCAAGACUAGAGUACGGCAGAGGGGGGUAGAAUUCCACGUGUAGCAGUGAAAUGCGUAGAUAUGUGGAGGAAUACCGAUGGCGAAGGCAGCCCCCUGGGUCGAUACUGACGCUCAUGCACGAAAGCGUGGGGAGCAAACAGGAUUAGAUACCCUGGUAGUCCACGCCCUAAACGAUGUCAACUAGGUGUUGG
rnacentral:rRNA from 1 species